ACAGUGGACGCGAGCAUCUGUGGCCAAGUUUUUAAGGGCGCACGGUGGAUGCCUUGGCACCAGGAACCGAUGAAGGACGUGGGAGGCCACGAUAGUCCCCGGGGAGUCGUCAACCAGGCUUUGAUCCGGGGGUUUCCGAAUGGGGAAACCCGGCAGUCGUCAUGGGCUGUCACCCGCUGCUGAACUCAUAGGCAGUGUGGAGGGAACGCGGGGAAGUGAAACAUCUCAGUACCCGCAGGAAGAGAAAACAACCGUGAUUCCGGGAGUAGUGGCGAGCGAAACUGGAUGAGGCCAAACCGUAUGUGUGUGAUACCCGGCAGGGGUUGCGCAUGCGGGGUUGUGGGAUCUCUCUUCCACGGUCUGCCGGCCGUGGGACGAGUCAGAAACCGUUGAUGUAGGCGAAGGACAUGCGAAAGGUCCGGCGUAGAGGGUAAGACCCCCGUAGUCGAAACAUCAGCGGCUCGUUUGAGAGACACCCAAGUAGCACGGGGCCCGAGAAAUCCCGUGUGAAUCUGGCGGGACCACCCGCUAAGCCUAAAUAUUCCCUGGUGACCGAUAGCGGAUAGUACCGUGAGGGAAUGGUGAAAAGUACCGCGGGAGCGGAGUGAAAUAGUACCUGAAACCGUGUGCCUACAAGCCGUGGGAGCGUCGCGCAUCGAGCUUGCUCGGUGCGUCGUGACUGCGUGCCUUUUGAAGAAUGAGCCUGCGAGUUAGCGGUGUGUAGCGAGGUUAACCCGUGUGGGGAAGCCGUAGCGAAAGCGAGUCCGAACAGGGCGUUUGAGUUGCACGCUCUAGACCCGAAGCGGAGUGAUCUAGCCAUGGGCAGGUUGAAGCGGCUGUAAGAGGUCGUGGAGGACCGAACCCACCAGGGUUGAAAACCUGGGGGAUGACCUGUGGUUAGGGGUGAAAGGCCAAUCAAACUCCGUGAUAGCUGGUUCUCCCCGAAAUGCAUUUAGGUGCAGCGUCGUGUGUUUCUUGCCGGAGGUAGAGCACUGGAUAGGCGAUGGGCCCUACCGGGUUACUGACCUUAGCCAAACUCCGAAUGCCGGUAAGUGAGAGCGCGGCAGUGAGACUGUGGGGGAUAAGCUCCAUGGUCGAGAGGGAAACAGCCCAGAGCAUCGACUAAGGCCCCUAAGCGUACGCUAAGUGGGAAAGGAUGUGGAGUCGCAGAGACAACCAGGAGGUUGGCUUAGAAGCAGCCACCCUUGAAAGAGUGCGUAAUAGCUCACUGGUCUAGUGAUUCCGCGCCGACAAUGUAGCGGGGCUCAAGCGUACCGCCGAAGUCGUGUCAUUGCAGCAAUACUCCCAACGGAGGCUGUGAUGGGUAGGGGAGCGUCGUGUGCCGGGUGAAGCAGCCGUGGAAGCGAGUUGUGGACGGUUCACGAGUGAGAAUGCAGGCAUGAGUAGCGAUUCACACGUGAGAAACGUGUGCGCCGAUUGACUAAGGGUUCCUGGGUCAAGCUGAUCUGCCCAGGGUAAGUCGGGACCUAAGGCGAGGCCGACAGGCGUAGUCGAUGGAUAACCGGUUGAUAUUCCGGUACCCGCUGUGAAGCGUCAAACAUUGAAUCCAGUGAUGCUAAGCCCGUGAAGCCGUUCCGGACCCUUCGGGGAAUGGAAAGUGGUGGAGCCGGUGGCCCGAGCUGGUAGUAGGUGAGUGAUGGGGUGACGCAGGAAGGUAGUCCAUCCCGGGCGGUGGUUGUCCCGGGGUAAGGGUGUAGG
rnacentral:rRNA from 1 species